AACGAACGCUGGCGGCGUGCCUAACACAUGCAAGUUGAACGGUGUAUAAUUUGUAGCAAUACAAGUUAUACAUAGUGGCGGACGGGUGAGUAACACGUAGGUAACCUACCCUUAAGCUGGGGACAACUCAGGGAAACUUGAGCUAAUACCCGAUAAGACUACGGGCUGGGAGGCUUGUAGUAAAAGGAGCAAUUCACUUAAGGAUGGGCCUGCGGCCUAUCAGGUAGUUGGCGGGGUAAUGGCCCACCAAGCCAGAGACGGGUAGCCGGGCUGAGAGGUCGAACGGCCACACUGGAACUGAGACACGGUCCAGACUCCUACGGGUGGCAG
rnacentral:rRNA from 1 species